rnacentral:rRNA from 1 species
UACGGGGGGAGCAAGCGUUGUUCGGAUUCAUUGGGCGUAAAGGGUGCGUAGGUGGCGCCGUAAGUCGGGUGUGAAAUUUCGGAGCUUAACUCCGAAACUGCAUUCGAUACUGCUGUGACUUGAGUACGGUAGGGGAGCGGGGAAUUCCUAGUGUAGCGGUGAAAUGCGCAGAUAUUAGGAGGAACACCGGUGGCGAAGGCGCCGCUCUGGGCCGAAACUGACGCUGAGGAGCGAAAGCAUGGGUAGCAAACAGG